rnacentral:lncRNA from 7 species
UGGGAUUGAGAUAGAUGAGUAUUAUUCGCUGGCCUCUGGCCAUGGAGCGAGGAAUCUAUAUAUCCCGGAAAAGAAACCGACGUCGGCGCCGGGGGAGAUGAUGCUGAGUCAUGAGUGGAUGGAUUUGGCGAUGCGUCGGACGGAUCGGAAUGGAUGGAUGCCUUUUCGGAUAUGGACGGCUGGUGGACGCCUCUCUUCUCCGACGACCUCUCCUCCACCUCCUCCUCCUUCCAUGCAUGGAAUAUAAUCUCCCCGGCCCCAUGUUGGCGCCAAUAAUUCCGCUUGCCCAAUCGUCCGGGCUGGCUUCUUUUCGUUUCAAA